rnacentral:lncRNA from 1 species
CCAUUUCUAGCAAAGGUCCAAAUAAUCCCACAAACACCAGAGUACAAAAGGGUAUUGUGAACAAUAAAUUGGGACAUAUCGGAAGCACAUGCGGAACAACGAAAUGUACAUGUGCCUUUAUGAAACAUUACGAUACAAACAUGAAGUUUACAUAACAGAUUUAGGUAUCCAAAUACAUGUAAGACAAGAGCAUACAAGAAUUCAAAGCAGUAAUAUAAAGCUCAAUUGAAUAAGAAAGCCAAAGGAUAUCAAUUUCCAAAGGAAUGAAACCAGAAUAUGCGAAAUCGACCAAAGCUCGAUUUCUGGUAAAAUUCAAGAGGCACAUUGAACAAAUGAUUCAAACUAUCAAUCGUGCUCCAAUAUACUCAAGAAAGCUAUCAAAAGAAAGGUUUAUGAGUCUAUAUUCUGAUCAAAUAAUUUUUGUCCAAAUCAGAGGUCAAUACAUGAAGUUAUAAUCAUAACAAGGUAGAAAGGUCAAAAUCUC